UUUGCCCCUUGAGGCGUUGCAGUGUGACUGAUUCUGUCACUUCUGUGUCAUAAGGUGGCAUAGAGUAGAAGGACUAUGUCUACACCUAGUACCCUUAAUAAUGGGUGCUCAGUGUCAUUUAUAGCCCUACACA
ensembl:snoRNA small nucleolar RNA SNORA17